GGAGCUGUAGCUUAGUGGUAGAGCAUCUGCUUUGUACACAGGUUGUGGGUUCAAUUCCCAUCAUCUCCA